rfam:Ixodes scapularis strain Wikel colony gcontig_1108379723816, whole genome shotgun sequence.
CCCUGGUUAGCUCAGUUGGUAGAGCGCGCCUCUGGAAAUGGAUAGGUCUCGAGUUCGAUACCCGGACCAGAUG